rnacentral:rRNA from 1 species
UGCCUUACCAUGCAGUCGAACGGUAACAGGUCUUCGGAUGCUGACGAGUGGCGAACGGGUGAGUAAUACAUCGGAACGUGCCUAGUAGUGGGGGAUAACUACUCGAAAGAGUGGCUAAUACCGCAUGAGAUCUACGGAUGAAAGCAGGGGAUCGCAAGACCUUGUGCUACUAGAGCGGCCGAUGGCAGAUUAGGUAGUUGGUGGGAUAAAAGCUUACCAAGCCGACGAUCUGUAGCUGGUCUGAGAGGACGAUCAGCCACACUGGGACUGAGACACGGCCCAGACUCCUACGGGAGGCAGCAGUGGGGAAUUUUGGACAAUGGGCGCAAGCCUGAUCCAGCAAUGCCGCGUGCAGGAUGAAGGCCUUCGGGUUGUAAACUGCUUUUGUACGGAACGAAAAGCCCUUGGUUAAUACCCUGGGGUCAUGACGGUACCGUAAGAAUAAGCACCGGCUAACUACGUGCCAGC